AUUGAACGCUGGCGGCAUGCCUUACACAUGCAAGUCGAACGGCAGCACGGGAGCAAUCCUGGUGGCGAGUGGCGAACGGGUGAGUAAUAUAUCGGAACGUGCCCGGUCGUGGGGGAUAACGUAGCGAAAGCUACGCUAAUACCGCAUACGAUCUACGGAUGAAAGCGGGGGAUCGCAAGACCUCGCGCGAUUGGAGCGGCCGAUAUCAGAUUAGGUAGUUGGUGAGGUAAAGGCUCACCGAGCCGACGAUCUGUAGCUGGUCUGAGAGGACGACCAGCCACACUGGGACUGAGACACGGCCCAGACUCCUACGGGAGGCAGCAGUGGGGAAUUUUGGACAAUGGGCGCAAGCCUGAUCCAGCAAUGCCGCCGUGCAGGAAUGAAA
rnacentral:rRNA from 1 species